CAGGGAAUAUUAGUAAUGGGCGAAAGCCUGAACUAGCAACGCCGCGUGUGCGAAGAAGGCCUUCGGGUCGUAAAGCACUUUUUGAGAGGAUGAGGAAGGACGGUACUCUCAGAAUAAGUCUCGGCUAACUACGUGCCAGCAGCCGCGGUAACACGUAGGAGGCAAACGUUAUCCGGAUUUACUGGGCGUAAAGCGCGUGUAGGUGGUUUGGUAAGUAGGGCGUGAAAGCUCCUGGCUCAACUGGGAGAGGACGUUCUAAACUGCCAAGCUUGAGGAUGGUAGAGGGAGGUGGAAUUCCGGGUGUAGCGGUGGAAUGCGCAGAUAUCCGGAGGAACACCAGUGGCGAAGGCGGCCUCCUGGGCCACUCCUGACACUCAGACGCGAAAGCUAGGGUAGCAAACGG
rnacentral:rRNA from 1 species